ACUCUUGCUUCAUUUUCUUGUGCUGAUUCUAUAGCUGUGAUGGUGGGAUGCUAGAUGAAGAACACAAAGACAACAGUGAAGUGAAUACAUUUAUAUUGAUGGGACAGAUGAAAAUUACUUAGUCUUUGGAAGAAGAAAGAGGAGAAAAGGAAGCGAGCACAAAGAAGUUUCACAUGAAUCCAAGACAAAUGGAAUAGUGAAGAUUCACUGGGCAUCAUGUAUCAAAUUCUAUAUCACCUCUGAGUUAUACUGAUGCUUUUAAAAUAUA
rnacentral:lncRNA from 1 species